UACGUAGGUGGCAAGCGUUGUCCGGAUUUACUGGGCGUAAAGAGCGCGCAGGCGGCCAAGUCAGUCGAAUGUGAAAGCCCCCGGCUCAACCGGGGAAUUGCGCCCUAAACUGACGAGCUGGAGUGAGAUAGGGGUGUGUGGAACUUCCGGUGGAGCGGUGAAAUGUGUUGAUAUCGGAAGGAACGCCGGUGGCGAAAGCGACACACUGGAUCUUGUCUGACGCUGAGGCACGAAAGCCAGGGGAGCGAACGGG
rnacentral:rRNA from 1 species